rnacentral:lncRNA from 1 species
UUUAUGAUAUAUAUCGAAAAAAAGGCAAAAAUGUCUUCAUUUUUGAGGGAUAAUUUCACCCCUUCAAACCGUGUUUGAGCUCAAACGAAAAAUUUCUAAAUUUAUGUAUUUAUCUCCUCCACAUUAAUGCCAAGUUUUAUUAAAAUCAAAACUUUUGGGUUUGCGAGUUGCCCUUCUCAGUUUUAUUCAGUUUUAAUACAUAGUAUGGGAGUACUGUGCAAAAUGUCAAUGUUUUUUCAAAAAACAACUUUUUUCAAAAAAUAAGUAGCAUAGUCAAAUAGAAGUAUUAAUGCUGUAAAACUUUUGUAUAAAACAUUUUUUGAUAUUUUGUUUAGUUUAUGAGAUAUAUUGAGAAAAGGCAAAAACGUCUUUACCUAUGAAGAGUGAUUUCACUCCUUUAAACUGUUUUUGGGCCUAAACCGAAAGUUUCUAAAUUCGUGUAUUUACUUCCUCUAUAUUUAUGCCAAAUUUUAUUAAAAUCAGAGUUUAAGAAGUCGCGAGGUUUUUUUGUUGGUAAAUGUGGCAACGCUGCAAAAGAGGUUAGAUCUUGCUAACUCUUUGAAGAUACUUUUUCGCUAAUACUCUCUUCUCUUUCCAAAAAUACUUUUUUGGGGCACGUUUUUUUAUUUUAAACAUUAGAAUCAGAGGACGGGCUCGGCUCCAACAUUUUCAAAACAAAUCUGACAUCGAAUGGAGCAGUCUGCUGCACGUACGUGCAGUCAGUCCUUCGCGUGGCAUUACCACGUCUAAACUAUACUAAUCAAACGAGAGAAUGUACUCGCUUGACUAGUUUGGUAUCGACAGUACUACUUUAAAAGAUUUUGAAAUAUAACAAAACUAAAAAUUAUUUUAUCAAUAAAGUAUGAUUUUAUCUCUUAAAACCGUUUUACCGAUUGCGGUCUACAUCACGCUUCGAAACAUUUGAUUGAUUAAUUUGUCAUGUUAAGCGAUGGGUGCCGCCACGGUGCGGAGGCAAACGGUAACUAAAAAUAGGUCUAAGAUAUACUGUUUGAAUGCUUCGUAAGAGACUUAAGAGAAAAUGACUUUUUUGGUAAAUUUAACCGAUUUAUUAAACUACGCAGGUGAGGGCAGUCGCAAAUAUAUUGAAGGGAGAAAUGUUGUGAAUGCACAUCACUUGAUAACGUGAUGACAGUGGCAUCACAGAUGAUGAUGAAGAGAAAACGAGUUUAAUAUUUUUAUGUCUGAAGUCAAGCAAUUUAUACAGUAAUCUACAUGAAAUUAAUGUAUAAAUUAUAAAAAAUAUUGAUGAAAAAAUUAUUAAAUGUUCAUGUUUGUGUAAAGCCGAGUCUGGACAAUGCAAGCACCGCAUAGCAGCGCUUAUAUAUUUAAUUAGGACAGAAAUGAUGUGAUAUAGAAAGAUCUACAUGCACUGAUAUUAAACAUAAAUGAGGCAAAUUAAAAAACACUGUCAGAACAAUGUAUGAAGCGGUACCAAUUAAAAAAUUUUGUCAUAGAUUACAAAAAGAAUGUAAUUACAUGGGUACCCGAAAUUAGUCCAUGUAUGCUAGAUAAACUUGUGCAAUGUAUAUUAAAAGGUAAUUAAUUAGUUUAUUGUAUAAAUAAUAAAUAUACAUUCUUCACAUAAUGUACACAAUCAAGAAUUUUUGCAGAUAAGAAAAACAGUAUGCUUAUAAAUUAAAAGAAGGCUACAAUAAAUGAGAAAAGAUCUGCACUUAAUACUGCUCCAAAGAAAAA